UAGGCAAUCUGCCUGGCUAGUGGGGGACAACGUUUCGAAAGGAACGCUAAUACCGCAUACGUCCUACGGGAGAAAGCAGGGGACCUUCGGGCCUUGCGCUAUCAGACGAGCCUAGGUCGGAUUAUCUAGUUGGCGGGGUAAUGGAUCACCAAGGCGACGAUCCGCAACUGGUCUGAGAGGAUGAUCAGUCACACUGGAACUGAGAACGGUCCAGACUCCUACGGGAGGCAGUGUGGGGAAUAUUGGACAAUGGGCGAAAGUCUGAUCCAGCCAUGCCGCGUGUGUGAAGAAGGUCUUCCGAUUGCAAAGCACUUUAAGUUGGGAGGAAGGGCAGUAAGUUGAAUACUUGCUGUUUUGACGCUUACCGACCGAAUUAACACCGGCUAACUCUGUGCCAGCAGCCGCGGUAAACCAAAGGGUUGCAAGCUGUUUAAACGGCCUUUCUUGGCCCCCAACCGGCCCGCAGGCAAAUUUUUUAAGCGUGCCCGUCAAAACCCCUCCCUCAUCCCAUGCACUGCAUCUUACAAAGCCCCCUUUAUAUUUCGUUUACCCUGUUUUCAUCCCUGUAUAAUCUUGUCCCGCGCCAAACAUACUCGGAUUCCCGCCCUCGGUCAAACCCCGCCCUGUCUUUAAUUCGCAACUUUCCCUCCACCUUGUGUCCCAAAACUUCAUGAACUUCCCCGAUUCUCUCCGUUUUUUCUUCCUAUAUUUAAUCCGGUUCUCCAACCCCUUCGCCCCUCUUCUCCNCUAAUUUCCCCUUCUCUAGAAACGGCGACUCAGAGAGGGAUAGUUGUGUGUAAUUAUGUGAAAGGGUGGCAUGUACAAUCACAGUAUGUAACACCCAGGGACGUGGAUAACGUCUGGGCAGAUGGAUUAGUUAAAGCUGUGUAACGGGGAGGAAUAUAGCAGAUUASCACUGUCAUGGAACAAAUAGCGUUAAAAGCCCUUCAAUAAUGCUGUAUAAAGCCUUGACGUUUUNAGGGGUGCAUCUAGUGGCAUUACCACGUCCAGCAUGGUGAGGUCCGCAGAUUAAACUGAAGUCAAGUGGUCGGGGGAGCGCUCAAGCGUGGUAGCAUGUGCCCUUAAUUGGAUGCAUACGCUAAUAUCGUUUCCGUACUCUGAGCAUGCAGCAUAAGUUUGGAUAGAUGGCUAGGCCAUUCGUGAGUAUCGACACAGGUGCUGCAUGGCCUAGUCGUACAGGUAGUGUCAUGACAUGUUGGGUCAAGUGAAUUAUUGAGAGCAACCCUAGUCCUUAGUUACCGGCGUUAACGACUGGGCGCUAUAAGGAGUCAUCCGGAUAACAAACCUGAGGAAGGUGGGGAUGACGUCAAGUCAUCAUGACCCUUACGGCCUGGGCUACACACGUGCUACAAUGGUCGGUACAGAGGGUUGCCAAGCCGCGAGGUGGAGCUAAUCUCACAAAACCGAUCGUAGUCCGGAUCGCAGUCUGCAACUCGACUGUCGUGAAGUCGGAAUCGCUAGUAAUCGCGAAUCAGAAUGUCGCGGUGAAUACGUUCCCGGGCC
rnacentral:rRNA from 1 species